GCGUUAAUAUAUGACCCGAUUAGCAGCUUCCGGGAAACCAAAGUUUUUCGUUUCCGGGGGAAGUAUGGUUGCAAAGCUGAAACUUAAAGGAAUUGACGGAAGGGCACCACCAGGAGUGGAGCCUGCGGCUUAAUUUGACUCAACACGGGAAAACUCACCCGGCCCGGACACCGUAAGGAUUGACAGACUGAGAGCUCUUUCUUAAUUCGGUGGGUGGUGGUGCAUGGCCGUUCUUAGUUGGUGGAGCGAUUUGUCUGGUUAAUUCCGAUAACGAACGAGACUCUGGCCUAUUAAAUAGACGAUAUAUUUAAAAGUAUAUCGCGCUUCUUAGAGGGACAAGCGGCGUCUAGCCGCAUGAAAUAGAGCAAUAACAGGUCUGUGAUGCCCUUAGAUGUCCGGGGCUGCACGCGCGCUACACUGAAAGAAUCAGUGUGCGUUACGCCUAGUUCGGAAGAACCGGGUAACCCAAGUAAAUUCUUUCGUGCUUGGGAUAGGGAAUUGCAAUUAUUUCCCUUAAACGAGGAAUUCCCAGUAAAUGCGGGUCAUAAGCUCGCGUUG
rnacentral:rRNA from 1 species